GGGUUUACUUGCCGCGCUUCCCCUUUCCUGCUGUUUAUUCUCAAACCCUAACACAAAGGUGUCUGAUGUCUCCACUCUCCAGCCACCAGCCCACCACACGCCGUCGGCGGAGCCACUCCAGCAUCCACGACUCAGUCACGCAGCCCUUCGCCUUCCCUUAGUCACUCUCUUCCGCCCUUAAGCUCACAAAAGAAGCUAGCAAAAAAUGGAUGCUAGGACAUAUAGCAUAUAUAAGGGAAAAAUCUGACAGUCAACUUUUUAAUUAUACGGUCUAUUUAGCAAUACAAACUCGUUACCUAUAGAAAGUUGAUGAACUGUGUGAAAGAUACUCGAAACAGGAAUAUUAGCACCAACAAACUUCCAUUGUCAGGGAGCUAGGGAGCUGUUGGUUUAGCAAGAUGGAUGUCAUAUGUUGCAAACCAGUGUAAGGAGGGUGAAUGACCAAAUGGUGAAUAGGAUAUGAAACUUUGCAUAAUGGGAGUUGGUGAUAACCAUCAACCAUGACACAAUUGAUGAGGAUAUUAUUUAUGAGCAUAAUGAAGUUUCGAGUUUUUAUUUAAAUAUUUGUUAGGUUUUUGUUUUAUAUGUUAGAUAUUUAGACUUAAUGUGACACUUGUUAGACAUUUGGAAGAUAAUAGAAGUUAUGAUAUUAUGCUUUCUAUA
rnacentral:lncRNA from 1 species